GUGGCCGAUUGGGGAGCAGAUGGUGUGAUUGUUGGUAGCGCCAUCGUAAGAAUACUUGGUGAUGCAAAAUCACCUGAAGAUGGGAUAAAAGAACUAGAGGUGUUCACCAAAAGCUUAAAGUCCGCCCUUGUAUGAUCAACAACGUCUAGAAUUGCAGAAAAACUGAAUUACCCACAUAUUUUUGUUUGUUAUGAAUAAUAAAUAUUCAGUUUCCUUCUCUUCAAGUUAAAACAUUGUGGUUGUUGUUGUUUCUUCUCUUAUGGAGUGUUCUAUUUUUCGACUAUUAUGCCACGUCACAUAUUACCCAUCUCAUUAUGCCACGUCAAUUAUUCGACUAGUCAUGUCAGCAGUAAAUUUAAUCAAAAUCUUGAUUGAUAACAAAAUUGGAUCAAAUCAAUAGUUCAAUAGCGAUCAUAUCAAACUUUAAAGUUGUAUACUUGUAUACAAAAUCAAAUUUUGUUGAAACUUAUACAAAAUCCAAAUUUUAUGAAAGUUAAACUAAUAUACAGUUUUUUUUUUUCAGUUUAUUGACAAUUAAUAAUUAAAGAGAAAGUGUCUUACCAAAUAAUUAAUUAUUUAUUUAUUUAGUUUUUUUUUUUUAAGUUGAAUGGAUAGAAGUUGAACUAAUAGCUGAACAUGAAGUGUCUUCCCAAUUAAUUAAUUAAUUAAUUAAUUAAUUAAUUUUAUUUAAGUUGAGUAUAUAGAAUUUAGAAUUGGACCCCAAUUACACUCGUAUAAAAGUUCGCCGUAUUUGUAAAUGAGAUGUAUGUUUGGUAGGCCUUAUAAACUUAGAUCGUUAAAUAAUUUGGAUUAUCUAUAUAUUUGGUAUCCUAAAUUAUUAAUCAAGAUGGUCGGGAUAAAAUCAAAGCACUCUCUUAUUUUACUAUUCACUUAAUUAAUAUACAACAAUUAUUUAUUAUAUUACUUAACUUACUUUUAUUAACAAAAUCGUUGCAUCUUGCCAUUUUAUUUAUAAACGUUACACUGAGUAUGUAUUAUAUUUCCAGCGAUUGGUUUACUUGCCAAUGUUAGCUCACUGAUGAUUAAGAGGAAGUUUGGCUAAGCUUAUGUUAAAAAGAUUAUAAGCUUUUGGAGUUUAUAAAAUGUUUCAAAAGUUUAUAAGAUGUAAUUUCAUAAGAUCUUAUAUAUUGUCAAAGUAUUUGCAUAAUUAAGCUUAUAAGCUAGAAAAGAGAACUUAUAGUUAGAGAGAUAAAAUUUUUAUUAGAAAGAGAAAAUCGAAAAAGAUGAAAUUAGAAUGAUACUCCCACCGUCUCAGUACAAAUGUCUCACUUUCUAUAACGGGAUGUCUCAUUACAAACGUCUCAUUCAUUUUUUGACAAUAUAUUCUCUCUAUACAUAAUAUUUAAAUAAUUUUCACCAACUCACUUUAUCUACUUUNUCCGCCCUUGUAUGAUCAACAACGUCUAGAAUUGCAGAAAAACUGAAUUACCCACAUAUUUUUGUUUGUUAUGAAUAAUAAAUAUUCAGUUUCCUUCUCUUCAAGUUAAAACAUUGUUGUUUGUUGUUGUUUCUUCUCUUAUGGAGUGUUCUAUUUUU
rnacentral:lncRNA from 1 species